rnacentral:misc_RNA from 1 species
GAUGAAGAACGAAGCGAAAUGCGAUAAGUAAUGUGAAUUGCAGAAUUCAGUGAAUCAUCGAAUCUUUGAACGCACAUUGCGCCCCUUGGUAUUCCGGGGGGCAUGCCUCUUCCAGCGUCAUUUCACCCCUCAAGCUCUGCUUGGUUUUGGGCCGCGCCGGCAACGGCGGGCCUCGAAAAUAGUGGCGACGCCAUCGUGCUCUCAGCGUAGUAAUUCUUCUCGCUGUUGGGUCCCGGUGGUCGUCCGCCAGCAACCCCCAACUUUCUUAAGUUUGACCUGGGAUGAGGCAGGGAUACCCGCUGAACUUAAGCAUAUCAAUAAGCGGAGGA